UGGCGGCGUGCCUAAUACAUGCAAGUCGAGCGCGGGAAGGCAAACUGAAUCCCUUCGGGGAUGACGAUGUGGAACGAGCGGCGGAUGGGUGAGUAACACAUGGGCAACCUGCCUGUAAGAUUGGGAUAACUCGCGGAAACGUGAGCUAAUACCAAAUAAUCCUUUACAUUUCCUGAUGUUUAGGUAAAAGGCGGCAUUUUGCUGUCACUUACAGAUGGGCCCGUGGCGCAUUAGCUAGUUGGUGGGAUAAAAGCCUACCAAGGCAACAAUGCGUAGCCGACCUGAGAGGGUGAUCGGCCACACUGGGACUGAGACACGGCCCAGACUCCUACGGGAGGCAGCAGUAGGGAAUCUUCCGCAAUGGACGCAAGUCUGACGGAGCAAACCGCCGCGUGAGUGACGAAGGUCUUCGGAUCGUAAAACUCUGUUGUUAGGGAAGAAUAAGUAUCGUUCGAAUAGGGCGGUACCUUGACGGUACCUAACCAGAAAGCCCCGGCUAACUACGUGCCAGCAGCCGC
rnacentral:rRNA from 1 species